CUGUGCUGCCAUGACUUACUGCGUGUUUCAUCUGGAAGUCAGCAUUGGUUUGCAGCUCCGUCCUUGAUUAAGGGACUGUUUGGAAAAGAUCAUCUCUUAAGAAAAAAAGUCCAUCAAAGGCCUGACAGGAUCUGAGAGAUUCCUUCAGCUGAUGAUCUGCUGAGGGCCAGGUUUUCAGGUGGUUGAGAAGAACCUUGUUGGUACUAAAAUGUUUUUUUUUUUUUAUAAAUACUAAAGUACUAGCUAAUCAAAGUCAAAGUCCAACUAAAAAAGCUGAAAUAUCUUCAGAAAUCCUGGAGAACUGCUGCUCAGGAUCCCAUUAAACAGUUCCAGCCAAGUCUGUCUCUUCCGAUAUAAGAGACAAAAAAAAUAAUUAAGGACGACCAAAGACUUUUGCACAGUUCGCUUUAUGCACAGAAAGGAAUAAUAAAAAUGCCACAAGUGGAAAAUGUGAGUGAAGUGUCUGAGUGUGAUAUCCAAGUGUUUGGCUGAGGGUUGUGCUGCACUUAUUUUCCUUUCAGCAAAGAUGCUGUCAUCAGAACAAGCUGAGCUCCUAGACCUGGAGCUGUGUGGACGUGUUUGCAGAAACACCAUCACACAUAGAAACAGAAGCACACAGCUGCAGGCUCAUGUGACUGAUGGCUGUGAUGGAGUUUACACUCCCUCAUAUAUACUUAGUUUCAUGGAGCGACUGUAAAUUAUGCUGUUCCUUCUGUCUAGGGUUGGAUCCUGACGUACAGCAGGCUGAAGAAGUAGCUUCCACCUCAGUAGGCGACACCAGGAGAUCAACAGGUCCUUGUAGGAGCCAAAUGCAGUGCUGUGCAGCUUGCUGUCAGCACUGCCUGCUUUCUGCUUUUCUCUUCACAGGUGAUUGCAGUUGACAGGUGGGCGUCAUGCGCACCUGUGGCUCGUUUGGCAGCUCCGGGCUGGAGCUUAAAAGCAGGUUGCAGUCAGCUGGAAGACGCCAGAGUGUUAAACCGUUGUGGUAUGCUUCAGUGGGCACUAUCUCUCAACAGUUUACCUGUUCACCGCACUAACUCGUGUUUCCUGUUUCUCACUGAUCACGUCAUGCACUGGAUCACUCUCUGGACGCUCUUCCGAGUUCUGAAGUCUCAAGACAAGUCCCUAGAACUUUGUCGCUCAGAUUUUGCUCUGGCACUCUCAUCGAGCCCCCUUGGUGUUACCAAGCCGGACAAGAGUUCCCUUCUGCACCCUCCCUGGUUCCUCCAGCUGCUUACUGCCACUGCCUUCUGCUUCGGUGCUGCUUGGACCUCCGCCAAGUCCCAUCUACCCGCUCACCUGUCUCGCUCAGUCACCUGGCCCCACCUCUGAGACGAGCUCCACUGAAUACGUCUUCCGUUGCACCCCCCCAGCUAGGUUUCCUGAACCCGGCCGUAUGCGCACCCCUCGUUACAGCAGUUUCCCCUCCUCGCCCCGUUUAACCUGUUUCCUUUCUUCUGCAGAGUAUCGGUCAGGGUUCCCCGAUCACUGUUGGCCGCCAGCUCUGUGAUCCUUCCUCCCUGUGAUUUCUCGUCGAUCACUCACAUAGUGAGCCUCCAUCUCCAUGAACCUCCGUGCCUGUUAAUAAACAUCUUAAACUGCUCUCU